rnacentral:lncRNA from 1 species
AAGGAAAUAGAUUGGUGGGCUUCUAGUCCAUCUCUGCCACAGCUCUGCAAUGAAUUUAAAUUGAACUUAUUGCAUGCAUUGCUUAAUGUCCUUUGUUGUUAAACUAUUUCCUAAAUGGUACAACCUGAAUAUCUUAGUGUGACAAAUUUACUCAUGAAAGGUCCCUCUAUCAUCAGGUUGGAGGAAGUCUUGACAAGGAAGUUGGCAAGACUGGAACUCUCAGAGAUGACCACAGGAUGGAGAAUGUCGGGGGUAGUACAGCGUGGUGCAAGAAGCUCCAGCUCUGGGGCCAGUUGGACAGGGUUUGAUUCCAACUCUGGCACCUGUCAGUGGAGCAGCCUCAGAACAACAUGGCUGUCCAAGCACCAGACUUCAUGGGAAAGGAGAGGAGAGCUCAGGGAGCUUCCUUUCUGACUAUUCCGUGAAGGAUUUUAUUCUCUGGAAAAAAUAUUCUUCUCUAAACAUCCUCAGGGUGCUGCUCAUCAAUGGAAUACUCAGAUGACCACUGCUGAGCACCUGGAGGUUCUUCUUCUCGUCUUCCAAUCCCAAGAACUGGUAUCAUAUAUGCCUUACACUUAAGUCCUGAAUCACUCAUCUGUCAACAUCAAACGCUCUUAUAUCUUGAGCACAGUUUCUAUAUGAGGCAAGGUGCUACAACAAGAGGAUAUUUACAGAGGAAUGAACAUAGCUCAUUUCCGUAAGGAGAUCUCUGUGUAAUUAUGACAUGAAAUUCUUUGACACAGAAGAAAGUCUUUCUGCAGUAAGAGAUCGUGUUCAAAAUGCAAGUAAACUUUAGAAGAGGCUCACUCAUCACAAAUUUAACUCUGCCAUAAGGAGGAAGACUGAUUCAGAAAUGGGAGGAAGAAGGCCAUUUAGAAAAGGCAACAACAGCAAAAACUGUGCAAAGUUUAAUUUUUGUAUGUGUGAUAUAGUCUUCACUUAUGUAUGGAUUUUUAAAAAAAGAUCUUAUAGAAAAUUAUGACUGGAAAAAACAAUGCUUGCAGAUGUUCUUAUUUCCUUAGUAGUUUGGACUACUCUACUAAACUGGAAACAUUCUUUAAUUGUCCCCCCCAAACUCAAGCAUUCAACUUGCCCAUUUCAACUUCAGACUGAUUUGGACCAUUUCUUUGACUCCCACCACGUC